rnacentral:rRNA from 1 species
GCGCAACCCUUGUCCUUAGUUACCAGCACGUUAUGGUGGGCACUCUAAGGAGACUGCCGGUGACAAACCGGAGGAAGGUGGGGGAUGACGUCAAGUCAUCAUGGCCCUUACGGCCUGGGCUACACACGUGCUACAAUGGUCGGUACAAAGGGUUGCCAAGCCGCGAGGUGGAGCUAAUCCCAUAAAACCGAAUCGUAGUCCGGAUCGCAGUCUGCAACUCGACUGCGUGAAGUCGGAAUCGCUAGUAAUCGUGAAUCAGAAUGUCACGGUGAAUACGUUCCCGGGCCUU